rnacentral:tRNA from 1 species
CUAGUAGCUCAGCUGGCAGAGCAGCUGACUUUUAAUCAGCGGGUCGUAGGUUCGAACCCUACCUGG